rnacentral:lncRNA from 1 species
AUGGUUCCAGUGAGAACCCAGGAAGCAGCCGCUGAUCACAGACAAAUCAAUGGCAAGGCGUCUCUGUUUCUGGCUUCUCCUUUAGGCAAACUUGGGCAGUCCAGACGAGGCCAGGCUGCUGGGGGAAUCCCAGUAUGCGUGAUCAGCGCACUUCCUGGCCUCCUUCUGCCUCGGAUUCUGGAAAAGGAGCUCCCCUCCUUGCACGGACUUGCAGAAGGACCUCAGAAAGGGGAGGCGGGCAGCUUUGCUGUGCCGUCCAUGGGGCAGGGAGCCACAGAAAUCCACCAAGACCAACUCCUCUGGCAGCAGAGGUGCCUCCCUGUUACGUCCUGGAUCCAGGCAGAGACACUGGGCCUCCGCUGGGCCCCUCCUGGGAGCUGGGGAGCACGUGGUCAGUCUCAUCCUCCCACAUGGACCACAUCGCUCCGGGGAACAAGCUCCUCAUCGGGGCAUCCGAGUCCCUCCUCAGCGGGCACCAGUCUCCCUUGCCUGCUCCCAGCCUGCAGAGGAGUGAAGGGACAAAUGGGCGGGUUUUACAGGUGGAAACGAAGGCCAGAGCUAGAGGUGAACUCAGGGCGCUCUCAGUCAGUCAGGACAUUCCCAUCACAGGCCAGACGGAUGAGGUGCUGGGGACACACGGUUGACAGUCCUGCCUUUCAUCCAUGGGCACUGCAGGUGGGGGUGGGGUGUUCUGAGAGUGGAGACACCCCUCCCCCGCAGCGACGGGAGGUUGGAGCAGGGGGGUCCCACCCAGAGCUCCAGGCUGGGAGCAGCUGGUGCGAGGGCUCAGAGGCAGGAGGGCGAGCGCCUUCGAGGGCCCAGAGGGAUGGACGGAUGCCUAGAGCUGAGCAUUUGAAGGUCGAGCUGACCGAGGAGGCUGGGCCAGAGGUCACGCAGGAUGUUCUGGGAGCGGGGAGCGUGGGGAGCCCCUCAGGGACAGUGACAGGCUGCGGGGCUGGAGAGGACAAGCUCAGGGCUGGGCGCCUGGGGUUGACCAGAAUGAGGUGCCAGGAGGGGGACAGAACGGUGCUCUUGAGUGACGGCUGCGGAGUCUUGGGGACACCUCUGUCCCCCGAGCCUCCCCUCCCCAGUGAAUGA